ensembl:lncRNA
UACUACCUAAUGAAAAUGGAGGAUGUCUCACCAAAACGAUUUGCUUGAGCAAAAUGAUUAAAUUAAAUUAAAGCAGCUCUGCUUCUUCACUUUCUUUCAUCAGGAUAUAAGGAGGUCAUGUUUAUUCACACCCACUACAGCCACCUGAGUGAGAUUGUGUCUGGAGCAAAGGAACCUGCAAACCAAGAGAAAGUGAAAAGAAUCCUCCCAGGUCACCUAGCUUCUGCUGUCAUAUCAGCCACUGUCCGUGACAGCUCCAAGGCCCAAACGAUUCCAGUGGCUGUCCAGUACACUCUCUCUUCAUCACAAGUGGUGGCGUAUUCACAGAGAGUUAUUCCUGUUUGUGCCUUUUGGAAUUUCAGCCUCGACAAUUCUCAUACCAGUAGCUGGUCCAGCAAGGGCUGUAGGGUGAUCUUUAUUGGCUCUAGUGUCACCUCCUGUCUUUGUAAUCACACUACCAACUUUGCAGUGCUGAUGAAUUACCUAGAGUCCAAGGUAAGUAGAGAUUUUUGUAAUGUAGUUACCGUACUUAAAUUACAAUGAAGGGGGGGGGGGAU